UAAUGAAGCAAGCAAGGUAGUAAGCACAGAAACUGAAUCGGGUGUUUAGGCUCGUUCUCUCUAAUGCCUUCUGGCUUUGAUUUGGGGGGCAUAGUUCCCCAGCACACCA